CUACUGUUUGACCCCUUCGCAGAAUCUCGCCUUGAGUAUAACCCUCGAUAUAUGGAGGGCCUGGUGGAUCUAAAAUAUAAGCAAUAACAAAGGAGAACGGAAAGCUGAACGGUCGACCGCAACGGCAUAUCUGGAGGCAACGCCUUAUGCUUCGCUUGACAGUGUAGCGUUUUGAGGAAGUCUCUUCAAUUUUAUCAACGCGACCUAAAAAUAUGGAAUGGAACAGAUCUUAGAAAUCUUUCACUAAUCAGCGCUGUCACGCAAUCCAACGCAACAAAGAUCAAAGCCGGGCAAAUACCUUCAGCGGUUGGCAAAACUUUAUUCUGAAAACAAGUAAGGAAGUGCUAAGUUCGUGUGCAACUGAAUAUUCUACACUCUUGCAACUCGCCAGAAUCAAAGCCAGGGAAAUAUCUCAAAGCGCUAAAUGUCAACCAGAUAAUCGGAGUCCAAGCAAUUAUAAGUAUAUAGCUGUGAUCAAGUUGAAAGGUGAAUUUUGUCCAUUUCAUCUCCUUCAAAGUAAUCUCCUACCGCUGCAAUACACUUAUGCCAACAAAUUUUCCAGUCAUCUUAGCACCUGGAAAAAUCCUCUGUCGUGAUGGCCAUCAGAGCCUUCUUCGAUUCAGCUUUUAUAUCCUCAAUUGAGCCAAAGCGGCGUCCUCGGAGUGGUCAUGUGAAUUUGCUGAAUGGCCAGAAGUUAUACGAAGCUAAAUCAGGCGAAUGCGUUGGUUGUGGCACGGUAUUAGUUUAAAAUGUGGCGAAAUGAUCACGAAUAAUCAAUGCAGUAUUAUGCAUGAUCGCACUUCUUUGUUCAAUAAAUUCAGACAUAGUAAAAAUCGAAGAAUUCACUUUUAGAGCCUCACAAAACGACGCGUAUAACAAAUACUAAUGAAUAUUCUGACGUGAAAUUUAUCAUAGAUGUCACUAACAGUACUACUAAAUUACAGAAAAAAAAUGUACUCAUUCGAAAAACACGCGAAGUAUAAAUGAAAAAUUCACCUUUCAAUUUGAUCAUAUACAUAUGUAAGUAUGUAUAUAUAACUUAUUCACUGAUCGACAUGUUAGGCAUAAGGUUUGUCAGAAAAGGAAAAUCAUUAUUUGUAGAAUAUAGGAGUUGGAGGAAUUAUUGACCCGAUUUUAACAAGUCAUACACUAAUAAAAUAUUUCCCGAGUUUCUUUAAGGUCAUCACCAAUCAUAUGGAGUAAAGUCAGCCGGAUUUCCAAAAAUUAUAUUAUUAGUUACAUGGGAUAUAUGUAGGUCAAGUUUGAGCACAAUUUUAUCCGUUUUAUAUAGAUUUAUUUAAAUAUACUGUUGUAAGUAAA